UCCACCAGCAAUGAUCACUCCCAUCACAAAAUUUGGGAAGAUACUUCCCACAACCAUCAUAAGGCUCUCAGCCCACAUCAUAAUGGCAAAUAGGAUAGAAGCAAAGUAUAGAUAUUGCUCUACUCCUUUGUGUAGUCCAGAAAGGUAACACACUAUUACUCCAGAAAUGAGUGAGAUCAUUAGCAUGUAAGGAAUUGGAGAUAAUAUGUUGCCAAUGAGAAAAGCAGUAAUGCUAUAGUGCCCAUUCAUUCUCUCCCGUUCAAACACCUAAUAUGGUGGAAGGAAACUUUUUUAGUUAGAAAUGAAAACAGAUGCAUAGAUGCAUCUGUACGCAAAGUUACACGCUUUAUAGUGUAAAGUGAGUAUUAUCAACAAUUGAUUGACAAACCAAAUAUGAGUAUUGCAUGAGCAUCUUAAUAAAUCUUGAAAGUGUGCAAAAAUUCAAUUCUUGAUUUACUCUCUUUCCACUUUAUUUAUUGAUGAUGAAUCCAAAUCUUUUAGAAUUUUGAUACAAUAGUGACUACUAGACUUCAAUGCACUGAAGCUUCAAUUAAAAUAGAUACUAAUUUUACCUUCAUUUCCUCAAUCAACGGCGGGAAUCCCCCAAUAAGUGUCAUGAAAGUUAGGACAGACAUCAGAAAUGAAAGUAGUGAUCCUCUGACCUGAUGCAUGCCACAUACGAGAAAACAAUUACAGCUCAAAUAUAUAAAUCAUUGGGAAUACUGAUCUCUUACUUGAGCCGACCUGAUAGAAGAUGGUGCCUAGGCUUAUAGCUAUUGCAAUAAAGACAACAAGACGUAACCAGUAGUUGCUGAUGUCACGAUACAAUUGCAGGGAAGAUCUUUUUAUAAGAACCAUGCAUUGACUCAGAAAUAGAGCAUGUGUCCUCCUAUUCCUCAUUGCGCCCAAAUCCUAGUACGUACAAUUUCAUAAAACAAAACGUUAAAUCUUACAGUUUAGGUGGGUUCUGUGGUGGAUCACCUUGAUAAGCGUUUAUGGUGGAUCAAUACUUUAAAAUAACUUUGAACCUCUAAUGACUAUCGACAACGCCCAUUGAAAGUAGGAGUUCAUGGUCCCCCAUAUUAUAUUUGUUUUUCUAUAUUUAUCAAACCAACACUGAUCAAGUUUGUGUCUUAGUCGUGUCGACAAGGAGACCAGAACUUUACUUCCAGAAGGAGGUGUUUAUCGUUGAUGGAGUUUCCAACGGUUUUCAGGUAUCAGUUUACUCUGAGCCAUCUACCAAAGUGGUCUAUAGUAGAAUUUAUGCUCAUUGUUGGCUUUGAAAAGUACAUUAUAUUGUGAUUUUCUUGUCUAAGUCUAACUUAGGAAUGCACGAUGAUAUACUUACACAUUUACUUAUUUUUGUCACCUCAAUCUGAACUUGAAAUUUCAUUUCAGACCCUUUAUAAGAAUUUACAAGGACAUCAAUUGCGUUUUCAGUAAUAGAUCCUUUACUUGAGCCUUCUGCAAUGUCCUGAAAACAAAGUUAAUUAAUCCAUUAUGUUUCAUUUUUUCAACUGUUUUGACUCUUGUGCCUUCUAAUCUAGAAAAGUUUGUAUAUAUAUCUGUAAAAUAUUACUAUAUACAAAUUACAUUAGCGAUGAAAUAGAAAGGGAAAAAAUGAAAUCCAUCUCUAAUUCUGCUAUAGUUUGGUGCCAGAAAUUAGAGAUAGAAUUUAUUUUUUCAGUACUUGAUUUUCUUUGGUAACUCUCUUUAAUUUUAUUGUAGCUUAUAAUACUUCUAAAAUUACUAAUGCUUUCAAAUAAAUACUAUUUAGACUCGAGGGUUUGCAUAAAUACCUGAUAAAAAUCUUUGUUUAUGAUCCUUAAGUAGUGAUCAGAAGGAUUGUAGAGAGUUGGACAAGGGAAACCAUUUGAAGCAAAAAACUGCACUGAAUCAAGUGUCACUAUAUGUAUUUUGUCAACUUGAAAUCAAUGUGCUACAUGGAUUUUAGUUCAUAACCUGAUUUGCUUCAGAAGCUGGACCAAAAUAGACUGUCUCUCCAGAAGAAAGAAGACAGAGGUAAUCAAAAAGUUCAACAACUUCACUACUCGGCUGAUGGAUGGAUGCAACAAUUGUUCUUUGAAUACCAUCCCUUAGACUUAAACUUGCAAUUCUACUCAUAACAUAGUAGGAAGCUGCACUAUCAAGUCCACUAGUUGGUUCAUCAAGAAAAAGAAGUCUAGGACGUGUUAGAAUCUCAAUGCAAAUGCUUAGUCUCCUCUUUUGUCCUCCACUUAGGCCCUUAGAACCAUACCCUCCAACCCUUGUGUUAAUAGCAUCUUGCAGGCCCAUUUCUCUAAGUGUGAUAUCUGCUUGUCUCUUCUUCUCUGCUAUGGACAUUGAGUUUGGAAAUUGAAGUUGAGCUGAGUAGUAUAAAGUUUCACCAGCUGUUAAAGCUGACAGCAUAGCAUCAUCUUGUGUUACAUAACCCUGAAUUUUCAUGGUGGGAAAAAGAUGAAUCAAGUUCUUUUAGAAUGUGGAUACAGUAGUCUACUGCUAGAGGUCACAAUUGUGAAGCUUCAAUUUGAAAAGAUAACAGUUUUACCUUCAUUUCCUCAAUCAAGGGAGAGAAUCCACCAACUAGUGUCAUGAAAGUCAGGACGGACAUAAAAAAUGAAAGUAGCGAUCCUCUGGCCUGAAACAUGCCAUGUACGGGGUUACAAUUAUGGUUCAAAUUUAUAAAUCACAGGGAGUGCUGUGCUGAUCGAUGACUUGAGCCAACGGGAUGGAAGAUAGAGCCUAGGCUUAUAGCUAUUGCAAUAAAGACAACAAGACGUAACCAGUAGUUGCUGAUGUCACGAUACAGUUGCAGGGAAGAUCUUUUUAUAAGAAUCUUGCACUGAGUCAGAAAUGGAGCGUGGAUCCUCUUAUUCCUUAUUGCACCCAAAUCCUAAAGCCUUAUAAGCUUUUACAAGGAUACCAAUUGCUUCUUCAGUAAUGACUCCCUUACCAAAGCCUUCUUCAAUGUCCUGAAAACCAAGUAGAUUAAUUCACUAUUUUUCCAGUUUUCAAUUGUUUUGUGCCAUCUAAUGUAAUGGAUAUUGUAUAUAUAUAACUGCAAAAUCUCUUUCAUUAUAAAGUAGUUAAUACUAAUCACUAAUAAGACCCAGGGUUUGCAUAAAUACCUGUUCGAAAUCUUUGUUUAUGAUCCGUAAGUAGUGAUCAGAAGGAUUAUAGAGAGUUGGGCAAGGGAAACCAUUUGAAGCAAAAAACUGCAGUGAAUUAAGUGUCACUAUAUAUGUAUUUUGUCAACUUGAAAUUAAUAUGUGCUAACUAUGUUAUGUAUCUUAUCAACUUGUUCCUAACCUGAUUUGCUUCAGAAGCUUUACCAAAAUAUACUGUCUCCCCAGAAGAAAGAAGACAGAGGUCUUGGAACAGUUCAAAAACUUCACUACAAGGCUGAUGGAUGGAUGCAACAAUUGUCCUUUGAAUACCAUCCCUUAGACUUAAACUUGCAAUUCUACUCAUAACAUAGUAGGAAGCUGCACUAUCAAGUCCACUCGUUGGUUCAUCAAGGAAAAGAAGUCUAGGGUGUGUUAGAAUCUCAAUGCAAAUGCUUAGUCUCCUCUUUUGCCCUCCACUUAGGCCCUUAGAACCAUACCCUCCAACCCUUGUGUUAAUAGCAUCUUGCAGGCCCAUUUCUCUAAGUGUGAUAUCUGCUUGUCUCUUCUUCUCUGCUAUGGACAUUGAGUUUGGAAAUUGAAGUUGAGCUGAGUAGUAUAAAGUUUCACUGGCUGUUAAAGUUGGCGGCAUAGCAUCAUCUUGUGUUACAUAGCCCUGAAUUUACAUGGUGCAUGGUGUCAAAAAGUAGAGUACUAUAGUACUGAUCUAAUAACCUGCUAAAGCAUCAAGGAGUGUUGACUUGCCACUGCCUGAAGGACCCAUGACAGCCAAAAGCUUCCCUGGCUGGGCAUAACCAAAAGUUUUUCAACUCUAAAGAUAAAUGCACCAUGCUCUUAUUUAUUGUGCACGAUAGAACAAAUGGGUUCUCGUACGUUGAUGUCCACCGCCCUCUCAAUUUUGGGACUAAAUUAGGACCAGCAAUGUCAACUUCAAUCAACAAGCAGCUAUUUAUGGGAGGUGAUUGUAAUUGUCUUGAAGUAUCCAAGAUCUUGUUCUAUAUAGUUAUUGACAUUCAAUUCAACAUAACAUUCUAGGAAAGUAGAUCGUAGUUUACCCCAGCAAUUACUGCUAACUGAACUUUUCAUGGGCUUCAUUUAUGAUUAAAUAAAUUGGGAGGUGAAUUCAAAAUUUUCUAUCUACUGUCUACUGUUCCCUAUAGAGAUUGUUCAUUGAUGCAAUUGAUUUUAGGGGACCAGCAUUUCAUGCAAUUGAAUUAUACUGCAUUCACGCAUUCA